UGGGGAAUUUUGGACAAUGGGCGCAAGCCUGAUCCAGCCAUUCCGCGUGCAGGAUGAAGGCCCUCGGGUUGUAAACUGCUUUUGUACGGAACGAAACGGUCCUGGUUAAUACCCGGGGCUAAUGACGGUACCGUAAGAAUAAGCACCGGCUAACUACGUGCCAGCAGCCGCGGUAAUACGUAGGGUGCAAGCGUUAAUCGGAAUUACUGGGCGUAAAGCGUGCGCAGGCGGUGACGUAAGACAGAUGUGAAAUCCCCGGGCUCAACCUGGGAACUGCAUUUGUGACUGCAUCGCUGGAGUGCGGCAGAGGGGGAUGGAAUUCCGCGUGUAGCAGUGAAAUGCGUAGAUAUGCGGAGGAACACCGAUGGCGAAGGCAAUCCCCUGGGCCUGCACUGACGCUCAUGCACGAAAGCGUGGGGAGCAAACAGGAUUAGAUACCCUGGUAGUCCACGCCCUAAACGAUGUCAACUGGUUGUUGGGUCUUCACUGACUCAGUAACGAAGCUAACGUGUGAAGUUGACCGCCUGGGGAGUACGGCCGCAAGGUUGAAACUUAAAUGAAUUGACGGGGUCAUAGCUGUUUCCU
rnacentral:rRNA from 1 species